rnacentral:rRNA from 1 species
GACGAACGCUGGCGGCGUGCUUAACACAUGCAAGUCGAACGGUAAGGCCCUUCGGGGUACACGAGUGGCGAACGGGUGAGUAACACGGGGGUGAUCUGCCCUGCACUUCGGGAUAAGCCUGGGAAACUGGGUCUAAUACCGGAUAGGACUCCUGGCUUCAUGGUUGGGGGUGGAAAGCAUUUGCGGUGUGGGAUGGGCCCGCGGCCUAUCAGAUUGUUGGUGGGGUAAUGGCCUACCAAGGCGACGACGGGUAGCCGGCCUGAGAGGGUGACCGGUCACACUGGGACUGAGAUACGGCCCAGACUCCUACGGGAGGCAGCAGUGGGGAAUAUUGCACAAUGGGCGCAAGCCUGAUGCAGCGACGCCGCGUGAGGGAUGACGGCCUUCGGGUUGUAAACCUCUUUCAGCUAUGACGAAGCGCAAGUGACGGUAGUAGCAGAAGAAGGACCGGCCAACUACGUGCCAGCCGCCGCGGUAA